AGGAGCCCCUGGGACUCCCAGAAGCCCCCUCCCCAGUGGAAGAUGGAGGGGAGACCACCAGGAGCUGCAGAGACAUCCAGAGAUGUGUAUCUGAGCCUGUGGCACAAUGUGCUGAAUAAAAGCAUCUUGCAGUAAUAGCAAACUUUGAACUCUCACCUUACUGUGGAAAGAAAGACAGUGAUGGAUAGGCCAGAAGACGGAAUCUGCAGCAACCAAUCAGCAGCCAGCAAGUCGUGCAAUAUGCAUACACAUCUGUACUUUAAAAUGAAUGUUGUCAUUUCUAUUGUAUUAAAGUUUUUGUAGU